UACGGGGGGGGCAAGCGUUGUUCGGAAUUACUGGGCGUAAAGGGCUCGUAGGCGGCCAACUAAGUCAGACGUGAAAUCCCUCGGCUUAACCGGGGAACUGCGUCUGAUACUGGAUGGCUUGAGGUUGGGAGAGGGAUGCGGAAUUCCAGGUGUAGCGGUGAAAUGCGUAGAUAUCAGGAGGAACACCUGUGGCGAAAGCGGCGCACUGGACCACAACUGACGCUGAGGCGCGAAAGCUAGGGGAGCAAACAGG
rnacentral:rRNA from 1 species